rnacentral:rRNA from 1 species
AGAGUUUGAUCCUGGCUCAGGAUGAACGCUAGCUACAGGCUUAACACAUGCAAGUCGAGGGGCAUCAUGGCGGUUGCUUGCAACCGCCGAUGGCGACCGGCGCACGGGUGAGUAACGCGUAUCCAACCUGGCCGUUGCCACGGCACAGCCCGCCGAAAGGCGGAUUAAUGCGGUAUGAGGCGCUUCGAUGGCAUCAGAAGAGCGCCAAAGCUUCGGCGGCAGCGGAUGGGGAUGCGUCCGAUUAGGCAGCAGGCGGGGCAACGGCCCACCUGGCCGACGAUCGGUAGGGGUCCUGAGAGGGAGGCCCCCCACACUGGGACUGAGACACGGCCCAGACUCCUACGGGAGGCAGCAGUGAGGAAUAUUGGUCAAUGGGCGGAAGCCUGAACCAGCCAAGUAGCGUGCGGGACGACGGCCCUAUGGGUUGUAAACCGCUUUUUCACGGGGAUAAAGUGCGCCACGUGUGGCGCUUUGCAGGUACCGUGCGAAUAAGGACCGGCUAAUUCCGUGCCAGCAGCCGCGGUAAUACGGAAGGUCCGGGCGUUAUCCGGAAUCAUUGGGUUUAAAGGGAGCGUAGGCCGCAUGUCAAGCGUGCUGUGAAAUCCCGGGGCUCAACCCCGGAAGCGCAGCGCGAACUGGCGUGCUUGAGUUGCAUCGAGGCAGGCGGAAUUCGUGGUGUAGCGGUGAAAUGCUUAGAUAUCACGAAGAACCCCGAUUGCGAAGGCAGCCUGCCAGUUGCACACUGACGCUGAUGCUCGAAGGCGCGGGUAUCGAACAGGAUUAGAUACCCUGGUAGUCCGCGCGGUAAACGAUGGAUGCCCGCCGUUGGGGUAUUGAUUUCAGCGGCCAAGCGAAAGCGUUAAGCAUCCCACCUGGGGAGUACGCCGGCAACGGUGAAACUCAAAGGAAU